rnacentral:rRNA from 1 species
GAUGAACGCUGGCGGCGUGCCUAAUACAUGCAAGUCGAGCGAACAGACGAGGAGCUUGCUCCUCUGACGUUAGCGGCGGAUGGGUGAGUAACACGUGGAUAACCUACCUAUAAGACUGGGAUAACUUCGGGAAUCCGGAGCUAAUACCGGAUAAUAUAUUGAACCGCAUGGUUCAAUAGUGAAAGACGGUUUUGCUGUCACUUAUAGAUGGAUCCGCGCCGCAUUAGCUAGUUGGUAAGGUAACGGCUUACCAAGGCAACGAUGCGUAGCCGACCUGAGAGGGUGAUCGGCCACACUGGAACUGAGACACGGUCCAGACUCCUACGGGAGGCAGCAGUAGGGAAUCUUCCGCAAUGGGCGAAAGCUUGACGGAGCAACGCCGCGUGAGUGAUGAAGGUCUUCGGAUCGUAAAACUCUGUUAUUAGGGAAGAACAAAUGUGUAAGUAACUAUGCACGUCUUGACGGUACCUAAUCAGAAAGCCACGGCUAACUACGUG